UUUUUUUUUAAUACAAGUACCCGGAGGGAAAGUUGCAAAGCACUUUGAAGAGAGAGUUAAAGAGGACGUGAAACCGGUUAGGUGGAAACGGAUAGAGUCGGCGUAUCAUUCAUGUAUUCAGUUACAUUAUUUUUAUGUUGUGACCUCUGAGCUCCAGAUUGGGACAGAGGGAAUCAGCAUAAUUUUUUGUGGUGCUUUUACUUGAUUGGUGCUUGGGGAUGUUUGAGGCAGAUUUGUUUCCGUCGUUUUGAGGCCAGCUUGCUGGUACCCAAACGGUGUUAGCAUUUUUUGUCUUGGGCAUUUGAGUAUGGCUCACGUGUAUUUAUUGGACAGAUCUGAGUGUAAGUUACGGUCGCAUGCGACACGUGCUUUUCAAUUAGUUCGGUCCAGUUAAUGCUCUCGUACUCGUUUCCCAUGUAAAAGCCGGUCAUCUAUCCGACCCGUCUUGAAACACGGACCAAGGAGUUUAUCGUGUGCGCAAGUUUUUGGGUGUUAAAAACUUAAAAGCGAAAUGAAAGUAAAUGACUCUUUAGAGUCUGAUGUGCGAUCUUGUAAAAAAGUGUAGCAUGGCCCCAUUCUAACUGUUUACAGUAGGGUGGCGGAAGAGCGUACGCGGUGAGACCCGAAAGAUGGUGAACUAUUCCUGAGCAGGACGAAGCCAGAGGAAACUCUGGUGGAAGUCCGAAGCGGUUCUGACGUGCAAAUCGAUCGUCUGACUUGGGUAUAGGGGCGAAAGACAAAUCGAACCAUCUCGUAGCUGGUU
rnacentral:rRNA from 1 species